UAUGAACGCUGGCGGCGUGCCUAAUACAUGCAAGUCGAGCGAACGGACGAGAAGCUUGCUUCUCUGAUGUUAGCGGCGGACGGGUGAGUAACACGUGGAUAACCUACCUAUAAGACUGGGAUAACUUCGGGAAACCGGAGCUAAUACCGGAUGAUAUUUUGAACCGCAUGGUUCAAAAGUGAAAGACGGUCUUGCUGUCACUUAUAGAUGGAUCCGCGCUGCAUUAGCUAGUUGGUAAGGUAACGGCUUACCAAGGCAACGAUGCAUAGCCGACCUGAGAGGGUGAUCGGCCACACUGGAACUGAGACACGGUCCAGACUCCUACGGGAGGCAGCAGUAGGGAAUCUUCCGCAAUGGGCGAAAGCCUGACGGAGCAACGCCGCGUGAGUGAUGAAGGUCUUCGGAACGUAAAACUCUGUUAUUAGGGAAGAACAUAUGUGUAAGUAACUGUGCACAUCUUGACGGUACCUAAUCAGAAAGCCACGGCUAACUACGUG
rnacentral:rRNA from 1 species